rnacentral:tRNA from 1 species
GGAGAGGUGCCGGAGCGGUCGAUCGGGCUGGUCUCGAAAACCAGUGGACCCUCACGGGUCCCGUGAGUUCGAAUCUCACCCUCUCCGCCA